GACUGUACCACUCUAGCUAUGUACAGGUAAAACAGUUUCGAUGAUGGACUUAAUACAUCCUUGAUAUGUCGAAGUGGACUGACCAGGCGGAAGUUGUUGUUUACUAAUGAGCUAUCGUAGCAAGACAUCUGCAUCUGAUGUAUUACUACUUUUUGGUUUCUGAAUCUGAUGUAAUAUCCUGCAGUGCUCUGGAAAGACUUGGCAGACAUCCCAGCAGCACAGCCUCCUGGGGCUGAUUCAGCCAGCGUUCCCACCCAGGAAUCCUGGAUGUCUGACAGGAAACAGGCCCAAACUCCCAAGGCCUCUAUAAGUCAGCCUCCCCCCUCACCCCAAGCAUCCCUCUUACCCAGAAAAACCUCUCCCGGGGCUUUUCCUUUAUGCUUCCCUCAGACAAGCGCUUACAAACAGGCCAUCUUCUCCACCACACCCCACUUUUAGCCCCCGCACUCUGUCUUCUGCCCAGCUUCCCAUCCUUUUCAUGUCUACCUUUAGCCUUAAAGCAAAGCUAUAUUUUCAUCAGAUGGAUUCACAAUAAAAAAAGAGACAACUCAGGACAUGCAGAAAAGUUGCAGCUGCCACACUGGUUGAUUAAAGCUCAAAAUUAAACAUGCACACUUUUUUUUUUCAGUAUUUCAUUUAUUUUUAUAAAACUGGAAUUAAAAAUUAACAAAAAGUCAUGUACCUAUUAGUGUUUCAGAUUGUACCAGUUUAAUACAGGAAGCGUGCUACUGGACACACACAACUAUUGCACACAAGACAUUGCAUAAAACAAAGUCAUACAUACUGUACAAAGACACAUACAUACUUACAAAACAUACACAGUUAUUUAUAUAUUUAACAUAAAAGUUGGCAAACUCAUAGGUACACAGAUUCUUUUUAAAAAUGGGGGAAAGGAAACAUCACGGAAGCUGCCAAAGUGCGUGUCCAUCUAAAUUUAGAAGUAAAUAUAAAAAAUAAAAUAAAAAAAAUAAAAACACUGACAUGGAGAAGAGUUUUAAUUGUAUGUCCAUGGGAAGAAGGUUACAGUAAGCCUAAACAACAGGAACCGGACGCUGAAAAAAUAGGACUUCCUAUGGCUGAGGGAAGUUGCGUGUUGUAGGAUGUCAGGGAACGAGGAUGACGCUGACCUCCCAGGAGGGCAGAUACCUCCCGUGCGUCUGAAACCGGAUCUUCUCCUAUUUUGUAGACAACGUGAGGGGUCUUGAGAAACAUGAGACAGGUUUGGAUCUUUAGUUGCACAAGGCGUAUGGUUUGCAAAUUAAACCCAGAUGGUCACAACAAAUUCUUGUUCAUGGUGCUGUUUGAAAAUUCACAGUAAGAGUGAUCUACCCUGUUUAUCCCACUCUGUUUGUCAAUGACUUUGUAAUUCCAAAUGAUGAUCAAUAAUACUGUCGACAAUGGGGCACAUGCCCCGAACACUUCAUACAUACAUUCAGCCUUUUGCCCCCAUGAGGAAGGCACAAACAGAGGCAGCACAUUGAUUCUAUGUUACUACAACACUGCAAGGGCAUCUGUUCUUUUAGUUAAACCUGCCAAACAGCUGUUAUUGAGUCAAAUUCGCCAUCUGUGCCUACUCCCUUAAGGAAAUGUGCAUUCUGAUUAGGCCUUCCUUGACGGAAACUGUUUAGAUACAAAAGACAACAGUAAAA